rnacentral:piRNA from 6 species
UCGGGGUUUCGUACGUAGCAGAGCAGCUCC